GUGGCAGACGGGUGAGUAACAUGUGGGAAUCUGCCUUGUGGUUCAGGACAACAUUGGGAAACCGAUGCUAAUACUGGAUAAGCCCUUACGGGGAAAGUUUUAAUGCCAUAAGAUGAGCCCGCAUUUGAUUAGUUAGUUGGUGGGGUAAUGGCUCACCAAGACAAUGAUCAAUAGCUGAUCUGAGAGGAUGAUCAGCCACACUGGGACUGAGACACGGCCCAGACUCCUACGAGAGGCAGCAGUGGGGAAUCUUGCACAAUGGAGGAAACUCUGAUGCAGCGAUGCCGCGUGAGUGAAGAAGGCCUUUGGGUUGUAAAGCUCUUUUGUAGGGGAAGAUAAUGACUGUACCCUAAGAAUAAGGUCCGGCUAACUUCGUGCCAGCAGCCGCGGUAAUACGAAGGGACCUAGCGUAGUUCGGAAUUACUGGGCGUAAAGCGCGCGUAGGCCGUUGAGUUAGUUAAUUGUGAAAUACCAAAGCUUAACUUUGGAACUGCAAUUAAAACUGCUCGACUAGAGUUUGAUAGAGGAAAGCGGAAUACAUAGUGUAGAGGUGAAAUUCGUAGAUAUUAUGUAGAACACCAGUUGCGAAGGCGGCUUUCUGGAUCAACACUGACGCUGAGGCGCGAAAGUAUGGGUAGCAAAGAGGAUUAGAUACCCUCGUAGUCCAUACCAUAAGCGAUGAUUGCUAGAUGUUGGAAAUUUAUUUUCAGUAUCGCAGCUAACGCAUUAAGCAAUCCGCCUGGGGAGUACGACCGCAAGGUUAAAACUCAAAUGAAUUGACGGGGACCCGCACAAGCGGU
rnacentral:rRNA from 1 species